UGGGAGAMUGUGGUAUUCGAGCACGCGAAGAACCUUACCAGGUCUUGACAUCCUUUGACCACUCUAGAGAUAGAGCUUCCCCUUCGGGGGCAAAGUGACAGGUGGUGCAUGGUUGUCGUCAGCUCGUGUCGUGAGAUGUUGGGUUAAGUCCCGCAACGAGCGCAACCCUUAUUGUUAGUUGCCAUCAUUUAGUUGGGCACUCUAGCAAGACUGCCGGUGACAAACCGGAGGAAGGUGGGGAUGACGUCAAAUCAUCAUGCCCCUUAUGACCUGGGCUACACACGUGCUACAAUGGGAAGUACAACGAGUCGCAAAGUCGCGAGGCUAAGCUAAUCUCUUAAAGCUUCUCUCAGUUCGGAUUGUAGGCUGCAACUCGCCUACAUGAAGCCGGAAUCGCUAGUAAUCGCGGAUCAGCACGCCGCGGUGAAACGU
rnacentral:rRNA from 1 species